rnacentral:misc_RNA from 1 species
GCCUGGUGCCCGCUGUCUAUUGUGGUGGGGAGCGCGCGGACCCGUCAGUGAUCCCGAGGGUGCUGGGGAGGCGAGAGGUCUUGGUAUUGUGUCGCGCACUUUCUCACGCAUUUUGCCGCCAUCAUGAAGGAGUGGGUCAGAUUAUUCAGUGAUGUAGUGACGCGGGCCUUUUACGGCACCAGGACACCGGCUGCGACUCCGCUGUCAGAGUCCAGCGAAGAUCCCGCUCAGCAAACUCCUGCCGCGAGUCCUCCGCUGACAGCAGCGCCCUCUCUCCCUUCAGCAGGUAAAGCAGCUUCUGACCCUCCCCCUCCCCCCUUCGCGGCACCUCCCCAGACGCGCCCCAGCACCAGUAGCGUCCCCUUAGGCUUCCCUCAGUCGUCCACAGCCCCGGUCACAAUCCCUCCGAAAGCACCGAGUACGACCGCAAGGCAGUCCUCCCCGUCGGGAAGUGCCCAGUCACUGUGGUCGCGAUUCUAUGGCUCCGCCCCUCCAGCUCAGUCUCAGGAAAAGGUUGCCUGUGACACUGGACAGGAGCGGGGAAGGGGCCGUGGGCGUGGGCGAGGUGGGGGCCGAGGGCGUGGUAGAGCGGCGUCUCUUGAAGGCGGGAAUGAUAGUCUGCGAGGCGGCCCAGACUCCAAAGGGCCUAAGGGCAGCCAGCAUCCCCAGAAACCCUCCCCAUCCGCUUCCCCGCACAGCGCUCGAAAUUCUAAUUCCUCAGUCCCUCCUCGACCGAAACGACCUGGCUCUUGGCGCCAGUUGCCCGGCGCUAUAUCUCGUUCGCUGAGUCCCGACAAAGUAGCCCCGCCCCAGGAGCCUUCGUCAGUGGAUGAGGACGGCUUCACCCUCGUGCAGCGUCGCAGUAAGCCGGGACGACCUCCUCCCAGUCCUCGCUCGAACGGAGCUGUCAGUCAGGGCGAGGACACCUUCUAUGAUGCAAACUCCACACACGAUUCUUUUGCGAAAGACAACUUUGCUCUGAACAAAGAAGAUUUCCCAGGCAUACUGAAGGUUCGUAAUGGAGCCAGCCAAAAGUCAGGAGCGUCGCGAUCGCCGUCGACCCAUAAGCGACCUGCCUCUCAAGAGUCAGGAAACUGCAAUCGAGCCAGAAGCAGCAGUGCAAACGAUGGUUCUUCACAAAAGGAGGAGUCAAAGGAACAGCUGAAAAAAUCCUCUAAGAACCAAACUCGAAAAUUGCCUUCUGUCAGUCAGUCGCCCACCAGAAAUAAACAAGAAAAAGCAAAGGAUCAAAAGAACGAAGCUGAAAAGCAAAAGGAAAAGCCUGAAGCAAUAAAACAAGCGCUUUCGGAAAAGCAACUGAACGACCAGAGUACACUCGAAGAUGAGGGUGAUGCUUCGAAGCUGAAGGAAAAACCUAAUGACAAGAUAAGCAGGAAAAAUGGAGCGGCAGUUGGUAAAGAUAUCCAGAAGCGUAAAGUAGAAAUGGAUGCGGUGAACACAAAUAUCGAUUCCCAGAAGAAACCAACACAGACAGUAGAAAACAAAAAAACAGACAGCAAGGCAGUAAAGGAAACUGAAAAAAUCGUAAAUGAUACUAGCGGCAAAGGACACCCCAUAGAAAAUUAUGAGGCCGCAGUAAACAAUGAAAAUAAACCAAAAAAGACGAAAAGGAAAAACAAGCGGAAAUCAGGCAAAGCCGACAACAUCGAGGCCGAAAACGAAAAUACAAGGAAGGAGCAGCAGACGAGCCCACCUGCUGAAUGUCAAGAAGAGCCCAACGAGGUAGACAGUCAGGUCGAUCACACACUAGAACCCAGGAUGCAGACGUCAGAAAGUUCCAUAAGAGAGAAGGAGAACGCUGAGGUUCCCAUGAUUUCUGCCCCGGAAGACCACAAAGAGAACGAACCAGAGGAAACCCCGGAAGAAUCGACAUCUGAAAUGAACACUUUAUCUGGCUAUGUAAUGGACCACUACCAAACACUCUUCCCGAAGACGAAGACAGUACAAAAAGAAGUCACAGAGGAUGAAGGACAUGACCGCGAUGGCCUCGAAGAGACGAUACCAGAUAAGGUAUCGGUUGAUGAUGUAGUGGAUAAUGAGAUUAUUCAGAAAGAUAACUUGCAGUGUAAUGAAGAUUCCAGCACAGGCCAAGGGACUGACGAAGGUGAAGGCAUGGAGAAAAUCACGAUCACAGUGGAAGACUGUGAGAUACCUCAUAAAACAGUGAAGCCAGAACAAGAGGAGAAAAGCGAGUUUCCUGUAGAUGUAGAAAUCGAAAAUUCAGCAGCUGAAAAAGACCAGUUGCAAGAACGCAUCGACGAACCUCACGCAGAGUCUGGCGACGAGUCUUGUGAAGUAACUUUAGUCAUUCCGGUGAGAAAGGAAAGCAUUCACGAGGAAGUUGACGUGGGUGAACUUGAUAUGGAGGUCAGCAUCGUCUUACAAAAUAUCGCGAGCAGUUUAGAGAAUUCCGAAGACUCAGAAGGAACCGGUGGUUCUACUGAGGUAGAACACUCCUUUGAGUGCAGAAGUACAGACCACGACCCAGGGGGAUUAAUCAAUGAUUAUAUGAAAAAUCAUACGAUAUAUACAGACGACGACUCCAGCGGGGUAGACGAUUAUCAGAUAAUUGACGCUAAGCAGACCGAGGAGGAAGACAUUUCUAGCGAUACAAUCAAGAAUAAGGAAAUAACUGCCGAAGAAAUUAAAGAAGCAUUGCCGAGUGAAUGCUUAGACACACCUGUCAAGAAUGAAAUUCAAGAAGAGAAGGUUGCAGAUCAGCCAACCCUGACAAGUCAGAACCACGGCAGCAAAACUGAGAUCACAAAAUUGAAAGACAUUAUACUAGAGAAAAAGAAAAAUAUCCAGACAAUACAGGACGCGUUGAAAGGACACGUGGUGGAUGUAAGCCAAGUCAAAGGGGCUGCCAAGGAACACAAGGACUCCAAGGACUUAGACCCUGAUGUCGACAAGGAGAAUAAGAAGGAUGAGAAGGACGUCUCCGAUCUGAGCAGCACACACAGACAAAGUCCCGACGGAGCUGAGGCCGACGUCGGGAUGCUGUGGGUGUUCGAGAAGCCCGUCGUCCAAGGGCGAAAGGACGUCGCCAGCCUGAACAUGACCAUUGCCGAGACGAUGAACAAAGAUAAGACCGAAAAAACAGAAACAGAUAAGGGAGAUAAGAAUGCUGAAAAAUUAAAGGAAAUGAAGAAACCCGACGAGAAAAUCAAACAGGACGAAGACAUAGAAAGAAUGCUCGAAGAAGAAAGGCUCCAGAGGAAGAAGAAACGAGAAGAGAAACAUAAAAAAGAGGAGGAGAUAGACCUGAUGAGAAAGGAAAUAAAGACAAAUUUGGAAAAACGGAAGAAACCAAAUAAAAAAGAAGAAUGUCACGUUAAAGAAGGCGAGGUGAAGAGGAAAGAAGAAGCUAAGAGAAAAGAUGAUGAAAAAAGAGAUGUAGAACAGGAUAUCGGAGAACGUAGAGAAACAUCAGCGACGAAGGAAGAGCACGGAAGAAUAACAAAUGAAAAAGAAGAAGAGAUACAAACGAAGGAUAAGGAAGAGGCUAAAACGAAGGAAGCGACGCAUGCGCAAGAUAACACUCUAAAGGAAAUUCAAAAUCUGCAAAGUGACGAGAGAGAAAAAGAGGAAAGAAAAGAGAAGAGAAAAAUACGCGAAGAAGUGUCCAAAGAAACAGAAGCGAAUCGCGAUCAGCACGACCGAAUUCCAGUUGAAAUCGAAAACAUCAGCGACGAGGAACUCCAAAGACGGAGGGAGAAGGAAGAGCGAAAGGAAAAGAGAAGGAAGAGGCGAGAGGAAAAAGUAAAAAUAAAAGAGAUGCUAAGAAGGGAACAGAAUUAUGAUGAAAACUUAUUACAAGACCUUCGCCGGUUGGAAAUGGAAAAACGGAAAGAAAAGGAGGAAAGGAGGCAAAGGAAACAAAAGAAGCGCGAAAGAGAACCAAAGAGUCCGGAAGCCAAAGAACCCGAGGGGCGGGAACGAGACCAGAGGGAGAGAGCAAUCGACGAAGGAAAGGAAAUACAGCGAAGUGAAGAAAGGCAGAAGCAACACGAAGAGAGCCAAGAAAAUGCCGUUGCACCUGAACGAGAAACAGCAGAGGAGAAAACAGAUAGAGACAAAAAGAAUUGUGACGUAGAAAUGGAGCAAGAAGAGGCGCUGCGUCAUAACAUAAAUAACAAGGACAACUUCAGUGACUCAACUGCCACUGUUAUAUUUGUGCCUGGCGACCGCAGUUGCUCGCAUGACAGAGCUCAGGACACACAUGACGGGAGGAAGGAAGCUAGGGCAGAUGCCAAAGAUAAUGCUAAAGACAAGCAAGAAGGCGACCUCGAGGAGUCCCCCGCGGCAAGAAAAGACAAGGAAAACCCUCCUUUAAACCGGAAUGAUAAAAGAGAUUCACCAGAAUUAGACGAGAUACAGACUGAGAAACUCGACAUGAAAGACAACAAGGUAAAAGAGAGCAGCCCCCAAAAGGAGGGCAGAGAUCAGGAGGAACCAACGGAAGAUACCUCGCAACCGACUGCAAGACGAAGAAGAAGACGAACAGAGGAUGAGACGGCGGAAGAUGCGUCGAUUGGAGGACUGUUCAACGGCAUUUCCAAUUUCAGUGUUCUUAAGAAAUUCGAAGAACUGGUUGCCGAACGGAGAAAGAGAAAAAGCAAACGUCUUGAAACCGACCCGACUCAAGAGCCCCAACGUGAGGAACCUGCUGAAGCUCCAAGACAAAGAAAAAGGACUCAGCAGGCGCCAAACUCCGAAGAGCCGAAAAAGGAAGAGGGGCCUUCCGUCCCCGAGAGCCAGUCAGCAAGAAGGAGGAGGCGGGUGACGGAGGACGACCAGGCCAGCAAGGAUUACGACGAGAUCUUUGCCCGACGGCGUCAGCGGAAGAGUCGCCUGGUGGAGGGUGACAGCAGUCAGAUAGAUGACGACCGUCGCUCCACGUUCGCCUCCGAGAGCCAGGAUUCCCAGCCAGUAGCUGCGAAUGACGCCGAGAAGCACUUCGAGGAGAUCCUUCAAAGGAGGAAGCGCAUCCGGAGAAAGAGGUACGUGUCCUUGCACAAGGACGACCAGGAGCACACUGGCGGCUCUUCACCUACGCUGGGGUCGCGAGAACACUCGUCAGAACUAAGUGAAGUUACGAAUAAAAAUCGAAAAGCCGAUAUAAAAAGAUCGCCGUCGCCGUCAAAAUGCUAUGGAAGUGACCGAAAAUCGCCUUCAAAGGCUGAUACCUGUGGAAAACAAGAAAGUGACAGUGAUUCUAGUGAUGGCGACAAAGUGAAUGUGACAAAGCAAAGACAGUGCAGACCGAGUAUUGAUACUAAUCACGACGUCGGCGUCACCAGGAUCUCCGAUGAUGAGCUGAGCACACCGUCCUCCAGCUACGGAUCCAGGUAUGACUCGAACGCCGCGAGCAGCAAUGUGCCCACCGUGUCCUACCGCGCCGCCCUCAGCAGGGAGCGGUCUGCCUCGCAGGAGCGCGCUGCGAAUGAAAGCAGGACGAGUUAUGGCUCUGGCUCAGGCUUCCUCCCACGACCUCGCCCGACCUCGCUCAGGUUUGUGGGUGCCUACACCACCUCCCUUCUCUCACCAGGCGGCAAUACCUAUAGCUCCCGCUUCGCCUCCAGCAGCAACGAGAAGCCUUCCGGAGUUUCAUCCAUCGCUUCGAAGUUUGGAGAAACGAAACCUGCGUCACCUACCUACAGAGUCCGCCCCUCCUCCCUCUCCACCACCUCCGCUGGGCCCGCCGCCACCACCUCCACCACUUCACUCUCUGCUCCCUCGCCCGCCUCCUCCUCCAGAUUCUCCAGAGAUUCCUCUCGCUCCGAGGGCGGGAGAUCUCCGGGAACCUCCUACACCUCACGACUCAACAGCGGUACAAAUUUCGAACGAUCAGGAUAUAAUUCUGAUGCGAAGUCGGGCUAUGGCUCCGACUACAAUAAAUCUGGCUAUGGUUCCGGCUAUGGCUCUGGUUCCAACUACAGUUCUCGCUACAGUUACUCGCGAAGUAACAGUUACCUGAAAGACUCGGAGCCCAGCAACUCGUACAGGCCCACUUACAGUAGGGAGAACAGCUAUCUUGGCAGUGAUACAGGCAGCGGCUCAGGUUGGAGGUCCCGUGUUUACGGAAGCGAUGCCGAAACGAACUCGAACACUUACACGAGGACGAGAACUCGUGACAUGACAAACUCUGCUGACCAGACAUCUCAGUCGAAUUCAACCCAACAAAAUGGCAGUGACGUCGCCGUUCCUGCCUUCAGAGAGGCUAUCGAUAAACUGACAAAGGCCGCAAGGGACGAACAGAAGGAAGGUAAAAAUCUGGAACUUCUGUCUCCGAAUGCAGUGCGAGUCCUACCGUCCUUCACUCCAGGGGAAAUUGUACUGAAGAACAAAGCCCCAGCCGACUUUAGUUCCGCUGCGGAAAGUUCUGACGAUGAAACAGGCAAGAAGAAAGAUGAGAAAAAUGCAACAGAGCCUACAUCAUCAACUCCCACAUCAACUACUACAAGCACGCCUACUCGAGCUUUCCGCCACCUGUCAGCCGUCCCAGCUCUGCCAACGAAGCCUUCUACUUCUCCAACACAAGGUUUGGCUGCUCCUCCUACCUUCAAACGAUCGUCCAGAUACACAACCGCCGCGACUGAGAGCCUCCCGACCUCUACAUCGCCGUCCAAGUGGUUGAAAGACAAGGACGAAUCAGCCUCGCCGACGCCAACGGUUCGCACGAGAAGCAACCUGGCCGUCGGGGACUCGAGUCCGAAGUCCACAUCGCCUCUUCCACCUCGCUCUCCGGUGCUUGGCUAUGGGAAAACUUCUUCCCCUACAGCCGAGAGAAAAGGAACGUCUACCGUUGGAAAUAAGGAAUGCCGAAAGUCAGUCCUAAAUAUGGAUAUCAGACCCAUGGACACAGAAGCUAUGAGGAAGCAACAAGAGGAGAAGAGAGAAGAGCUAAGAAGACUUAGGAGGCAGCGAGGAAACGACGACGACAAUAAAGGAAGCAGAAGACCUCCUACUGGGACUGUAAGGACAAGGUCAGGAGCCAAGCUCGAAGAUAUUGGUCGGCAGCGAUCAAGAGGCUCUGGAUCUGACUUAGCAAAACAGGCAUCACAGUCGAAAGUUCCAGAAGAGGAGGAGGAAUCUAGCAGCAGUGACGAAGACAAACGCGAAGACAAACCUCCAGUGCCUCCUUCAAUGGAGAAGUCAUCGUCUAAAUCUAGGGUUGUAGAAAGAAAACAUUCCAAAGGUAAAGGAGAUGCCAUGCGGCGCAGUGGUUCUAUGCGACGCUUCCGACAGUCGUCUCAGACAAGCAAAACAUCCUCUGAUUCCUCCUCAUCAGAAAGUGAUGAUGAAACACCGGUGGUCACCAUCACGUUGCGCAGGAGGCGGAGGAGCUCCCGAGAAGACAUGUCAGGAGAAAAUCAAAGCCGCCUAUCUCCACGAACAUCCCCAAGAAUGGCGAAAAAGGGCUCAUCAGACGAUAUACUGGAAGGUCAGCGAUCUCGCAACAAUUCCACAUCAAAUUUUGUUGGUAGGAGAUCGCGCCAAAGUUCAAAUAACUCGUCAUCCAACCUGGCUAAAUCUCGCUCGGGUAAUAAUUCUCGUGGCAGUAUUGGCGACCAAGAUAAAUCCCGAAGUAAUUCGCGAUCUAGCAUCCUUGGUGAUAAAAAGCUGUCCAUCGGGCCAGACAUCGACAUAGGGGAAAGGAAUGACUCAUCUAGCAAAAUUGCAGGCAGUAAGAGCAAAAGCAACAACAAUCUUUUGCGUGGUAAAUCGAGCGAUAAACUUAAACGAACCAAAGAUGAGAAGAGUGAAAGCUCCAGUGAGAGUGAGACAUCUGAGACCUCAGACUCCAGUGAAUCUGCUGGUGAAGAAGGUCAGUUCUUCUCACUUGCCAAAUCUCGAUCAGUAAAGAAAUCCAAGUCAGGCCUGAACAAGCUUAAUGAAGCUUCGAAACUACAGGAGCUGGGAGACAGGACAAGUCCUGAUGGCAAGGAACAUGUAUCCAGAACAAAUUCAGGUGCUGAUAAUUCUGAAUUUCCUUGUGGAAGCCCGGCUGCCUCUAAUGCUAACCUUGCUGUCCCUUAUGAUAAGACUGAUGCUGCUGUUGCAUCUAACAAAUCUGUGUCUGAUCUUGGAACAUUUGAAUGGCCAAGCGGAAGUCCAUGUGCCUCCCGUGCAAAUAUCUAUCGGCAUUCACCGUAUAAUGAUAAUACUGAGAAUGACGCUCAAGAUAUAUCAAAGAACGACGAGAGUAAUUCCUUGGGUACUUUUGAGUGGGGAAGUGGCAGUCCAGAACUGUACACGAAGAAGGUAGAUGAAACAGUUGACAGUGACCUCGGUACUUUUGAGUGGGCCCCAGGAAGUCCAGAAUUAGGCCGUCGUAAAGCAACAGACUCAGAAGAACAGGAUACGUCUGAGUGGAAUACGAAUGCAAGCCCCACAUUCCCAAGGAGAAUGAAAUUUGUCAACAGAUACGACACAGAAACGGAAACCGAGACGGAACUCAACAUGUCGGAUGAGACAGACGAUGAGAUAUCCAAAAUGCCGAGUGUCGCCGAAGAGACAGAAGACGACUUCAAUUUCGAGUGGCCGAGCAGUCCGGUGUUCAACCGACGUCUGCCUUUCAGUUCAGAUUAUGACACCCAAAACGACACGGAGGCGUUCGAAUGGCCAAGCAGCCCGGAUCUGCCCACAAUGAAAAAUCCAAAGUUCAUUAGUUUUACCGAAGACAUUGACCAAAUUCUUAGACACGACGUUGAGGACAACUUUGCCGAGAUGGAAAAAUUAUUGGGUUACUCCCCUCCACCGACGGAAGAGGAAGAAGGGGAUGAGACAAAGAGCACUUCCAGCAAGGUCAGCAGCAAUGCACUAGAUUCUAAAGCAUCGACGGACGGAGCCACAGUAGAGGAGGAGGAAGAGGAGGAGGAAGCAGAGGAAGAGGCGGAGAAUGAAGCAGAAAGCGAAACGAAAGUUGAGAAGAAGGAAUUGCUCAAGGAUCGGGCGAGAAAGAAUUUGUCACUUUUCAUAGGAAAACUAACAAAUAUCGAUGAGAUUCUGGGGUCAGUGCUGAAACCCUUGACGUCAUCAGCCACCAAGAAGAAGCAAGCUACAGAUGAUGAGGGUCCCCGCAGGAAAGUUGUUAAAGUUGCCAACAAAGUUGACUUCAAGAAUCUUCUGGACUCGAGUGUGGAGGAGAUCGACGCAGCCGACGUUAAGGUGCACGACGCCAAGGCCAACCGAGCGGAGAUCGACGAAAAUAUCGAGGAAAUUGACGCUUCGGCUGUGAUCAUCCGAGAGAAGGAGAAACGAGAAGCUCUUCGUGCCGAGAUCAUCAGCGCUGUCAAGGCAGGGUUGGACGACGCUACUUUGCAAGUGUAUCGCGACGGGGACUACGGCACCUACUUGGACCUCGAGUCUUCGCUGGCAGAACAAGCCGAGGACAUCGACGGCCUCACUGACAGUAAGAAGAAUGCCAUCAUUCUUCGAACCCAACUGUCAGUCCGCGUUCAUGCCAUCAUCGAAAAACUGCUCAACUCAGAGGGCCGGGAGCUGCGGCGCGCCCUCUUCUCCCUUAAACAGAUCUUCCAGGACGAUAAGGACCUCGUGCAUGCCUUCGUUCAGAAUGAUGGCCUCACUUGCCUCAUCAAGGUCGGAUCCUCAGCCGACCAGAAUUACCAAAACUACAUUCUCAGAGCACUCGGUCAAGUGAUGCUUUACGUCGAUGGCAUGAACGGCGUGAUGGAGCACCAGGAGACCAUCCAGUGGCUCUACUCACUGAUCUCCUCGAAGUAUCGGCUCGUAGUGAAGACGGCCCUCAAGCUCCUUCUCGUCUUUGUGGAGUACACAGAGUCCAACGCGCUCAAACUCAUCACUGCCAUUGAGAAUAUUGACACAUCCAGAGGUGAUUCCCCUUGGUCUACCAUCAUGCGGCUUCUCGAGGGACGCGACAGCUUGGACAUGGAGUUGUUGACUUAUGCCAUGACUCUUAUCAACAAAACCCUGAACGGCAUCCCGGACCAAGACACUUACUAUGAUCACACUGAUUACCUGGAGGAGCAGGGCAUGGAGACUCUCAUUGAAAAAUACAUGCACCGUCCAGAUAGCGAUUUGGACUUGUUGCAACAGUUCACUAUUUAUGAAGCAGUUUUGUCAUAUGAGGAUGGUGAUGAUGAAUGCCGCACCCGCACUAUCGAUCCAACUAUAAGACAAGUCCCAAGAAUAUCAUCUACAGAUAGAGACUCCAUUGAUCGUCGCAAGUCUCGAAGACACCAUCAAUCACCUUCACCAACCAAAAUGAAAAAGUUAGGAGUUAACUUGGGAGACAGUGGUGGCAGACAGUCCAGCAGUGAUGAGGACCAUGUGACCAUUAUCAACAUCAAUGGUGAAUCCUUUGGCAUACCCCAGGAUGAUCUGAGUAAUGUUAAGCAUGCAGAUGCAGGAGUCACACCUGCACUGCGGCGACGUCGUGAGCGAGCAGAACGCCAUAGAACCUUCAUCAACGAGCAGGAAAUCAUCAAUGAAAGUCGCCGAGGCUCUCAAUCAUCUGACAAUGUGGAAGAUGAAAAUCGCAAGAACAUUGAACUGUCUGGUCUCAACAAGCAAGCUUCUUGGAUGAUGGAUAUGAUGUAUGCCAAACGUGAGGAAGAUGGUACAGGUCGUAGAGAAUCUCUUACCAACAUACAGGACAUUGCCUCAAGAAUAUCUAGCCUUCAAGACAAAGAAAAUGUUGAUAACAAUAUGCGUAUGCCUAUUGAAAUCAAUUCAGGAGCAUCAGUAAAGGAACUACAAGAUAAGAUGAUGAACACCAGUUCAGGUCAACUUGCUGAUGGAGAAAAGUCAGGCCGAAAGGGUGACAUUAGUGAUCGUAUCAACAAAAUAAAAGAUGGUCUCUCUAAGUCACAUUCCAAGGGAGAGAUAAAGGACAGUCCCAUUCCAGUACCAGAACCACCAAAGAAGUCAGAAAACGACAUACAGUGGGAGCUUCUGAUGAAGCACCUGAACAGACCUCUGCAACUCUGUGAUCUUGAUUUCUCUGACUUGACUGCUCAGGAUGAUCAAGUAACAGUGGAGGUUAAUAAACCUGGAGGUCCACCACCUCCACCUCCACCUGGUGGAACAAUACCUGCAGGACCACCACCACCACCACCUCCUGGUGGGCCACCUCCUCCUCCUCCACCUGUUGGAGGACCUCCACCACCACCACCGGCACCUGGGAAGCGGCCAGGUCCUCCUCCACCUCCAUCAGCACCUCAAGAUGGUGAUGCUCCACCACCACCUCCUCCUCCUCAGAAUGGUGUUGAUGGUCAGCAGGAAGAUUCAAGCAAGCCACACAAGACUAAGAAAACUAUAAAGCUCUUCUGGAAGGAGGUGCGUGAUCCAAGAAUACCUGAGGCUACUAUAUGGGACAAAAUGGAGGACAUUCCAGUUGAUACGCAAAAACUUGAGCAUCUCUUUGAAUCCAGAGCAAAGGACCUUAUAGCAAAGGAGAAACAACAAGAGCAAAAGGGCAUAAAGGAAAUUGUGGUGCUGGACCCGAAGAGAUCUAAUGUCAUCAAUAUUGGUAUGACUAAGCUGCCACCACCACGUACAAUCAAGACAGCAAUUUUGAAGAUGGACUCCUCAAUCAUCAAUCGUGAAGGCAUUGAGAAACUCCUAACUACCAUGUUACCAACACCAGAAGAAAAGCAGAAGAUUCAGGAGGCUGCGAUAUGCAACCCAGAGUUACCUUUAGGUUCAGCUGAACAAUUCCUUAUGAUGCUGUCGUCUAUAUCAGAGCUCCCAGCUAGAUUAAAACUUUGGAUUUUCAAAUUGGAUUAUGAUAAUAUAGAGAAGGAAGUGGCUGAACCUCUGAUGGAUGUAAAGCAAGGCACAGAGGAUCUCAUGAAGAACCACACUUUCAAAACUAUUUUAGCUGUUCUUAGAGCCAUUGGUAACUUCCUGAAUGGCACAGAUUGCAGAGGUUUCCACAUUGAUUAUUUGUCUAAAGUCCCUGAGGUUAAAGAUACUGUCCACAAACAUUCUCUCUUGCACCAUCUGUGUCACAUGGUUAUUGAAAAAUAUCCAGACACAUCUGAUCUCUAUUCAGAGAUUGGUUCUAUAACUCGUGCUUCUAAGGUUGACUUUGAUGAACUAGCAAAGAAUAUUGUCAGAAUGGAGAUCGAGUGCAAAUCCUCAUGGGACCAUCUGAAAGCCAUAGCCAAGCAUGAUGGGCCAACACAAAUAAAGCUGAAAAUGUCUGAGUUCUUGGCUGACUGUGCAGAGAGAAUUAUUGUUUUGGGCAUUAUCUAUCGUCGUGUGAUGACCAGGUUCCAGAAGUUCCUCCUGUGGCUUGGCUUCCCCCAGCAUGUAUCUCAGGAAAUGAAAGUGCAGGAAGUGUGCUCAACCAUUAGUGAAUUUGCCCUUGAGUACAGAACCUGCAGAGAACGGGUGAUACAGCAGAUACAGAAGAAGGCAAACCACCGUGAGAGGAACAAGACUCGUGGCAAGAUGAUUAUGGAAGAGAUGGAGCACCGAGGCUCCCUUAAGCCCUGUCUCAAGAGUCGCUCGAUGGAGAAGUUCAAGAGACCAAAGCAGACGAAGGAGGAGAAGGCAGACUCCGACCUCAGGCAGCUCCUUAACUACUCUGAUGUAUCUGACACUGAAACUAUUCGUGGAAAGAGUACAUGGAGAAGGACUAGAGAAGGUAAAGCACGCAGUCGAGGUGAGGAGGCAAUGGCAGAGAUGAUGGGAGAAGGGGAUGAUGCACUGCUCGAUUCCUUAGUGAAGACAGCCACACAAGGGCCCUCAUCUAGAACUACGCCUCGUGAACGCAAACGGUCUCGACAUGCAGACCGCAAGUCUUUCCCAGCAGCAAAUGGUCCACGACGAUCUAGAUCAAGAAAAGGUGUGCCAGACUUGUCCCACCUGGAGGCUUUGGUACUUCCCAAAUGAGAACCCUUCACCACCAGCCACCACCCUGGGGACACCUCGCUGCUAAAAUCUCUUGCGGCGCACCCUGAAGAAUGGACUUACAGAAGAGGAAAAACGUCUCCUUGCAAUGAUUGCUGCACAGACCCGUUGAAGCCCCAGCAAACAAGUCUUUCCAUAGCAAUUAUCACCCACUUCUGCUAUUCUCAUUCUCUGAGACUUUCAUGAUACCAAGGCUCGUUCUAGAGUCUUAAAUAGUAUUAGCAGAUGUUUAUGUUUAUUCUGUAGGCUGACAUCAUAAAUAUGUAGUGCUAUGUGGGUGAUAUGAUCUAGUCAGUCAGGAGUAGUGAAAACAUCUCCAGGGUCUCUGAUAGCUGCAUCGUGGUCAUUUCCAGCAAAUAUGUUUUAGCUUCAUACAAAUGAUCUAUGAAAACCAAUGUCCAUACUUUCCUAGCCUGAUUUUCAUAAUGCAAUUAUCAAUUGCCUAACUCCUAAUGAUGUAGGAACCUCAUACUGCUGCACUUCUGAUGUAGUGCAUAUGGUUUAAAGAUUUUUGUAGGGUUAUUAUGGGAGUCCCUGCAAAAUUUACAAACUACCUUUGUCUUUUCAUAUUUCCAGCAGCUUUUUUUCUUUUUUUUUCCAAGAUACUGUUUAGGUUGCAAAUUAAUUUUUAAUAUCCCAUGUAUGGCAAGUAUUUUUCAUAUUUAGGAGUUUUAGAAGAUUAUUUAAUCUGCUGUGAUGUCCUGUUGAAAAUAUUGGCUAAUGCCUUCUUUGUAAAUAGUCCUGCAUCAAGUUGUAAAGAGUGCUAUUGCCCUGUGCAGGCUUGUGCCAUGAGAUGUGUAUGCUUCUUGAAGUAUGUAAAGGGUACAUCCCCCAAAAUUUCAGUUCAGAGGACAUCACGCCUUUUGAAGACACUUGUCCCUUCAUGAACAUGUCUCUCUUUUCAUCAUUUUUCAAGAGGAACUGGUCCUAUAAUUGUAAUUUUGGUGAUUCACCUAAGGUCACAAACACAUCUUCAUGCUGGUCAUAGAUGAAUGACAAAUUGGAAUAUUUUGGACAUGGUGUUUGCAAUUUCAAAAGAACUUCAAUCAAAAUUAAAACAAAAUUGGACAGCAUUAUCAUGCCCAGUUUUCAAUUUGUAAGUUUUAAUGUGUCCUAUUUGUAGCGCCCACACAUAUCCCAACUGCAUAGAUGCUUACACUGCAUACAUGUGAAAGAAACCAUUAUUCCAGUAUACAUUUUCUCUGCCUUGCUUGGAUAUUUUUUAGUAUCCUGAGUAAAUUAGCUUAUAAUGUUUUCCAAUUAUGAUCUGAAGGGCAGAGAAGCAAUAAAUACUCAUUGUUAGUGGAAACAUAUUGUCCUACUGUAGAUGAGGCAUAUGUGGGUUGUUGCAUGGGGGUUCGCCUUUACUGGAUGAUUAUUGAUUUAAGAUGCAUUAAUAUAAUGCAAUAAGUCAGGUUUAAAUAUAUUAUGACAUUUUAAUGUUACUUUUGAGAUUUUGAUACUCAAAAUAGUGCUUCAUGAAAUUUAAAUAAAAAAAAAAGGCUG